CUAUCCCCUCGCCUUGCCACAGAGAAUCCACGCUGAGGGAAUAGGCAAAAACAUGACUAUGUUUCUCGUUAUGAAGAAGCAAGCAUAACUCGUCUGAGGAUAUAGGCUAUCACUGCUUCCACAAAUUGUGUCUAUGAUUUGGUCAUGUGAUUAUAACACAGCUUAUACAUUCAGUAACCAAAACAAGCAAAGUUUAAAUAUGGCCACACUCAAGGUCCUGAGCAUUUCAGAAGUGAAAUAAAGUAUAAAAUCAAGAGGUUUUUAAUUCAAGAAUACAAUUAGCGAAUGAAUCAGGGGGCAGAUUACACGCAAGUAACUUUCGUGACAUAAGUGAGAAAAAAACUGGUGUUCAAAAUUGCAGUCAACAGCUGAAUGUUAAUUGUUUUCGUCCAAACUUUUGAAGGGUUGGUACAUUUACCAUCCUUAUUUGACAUUAUCCUUACACGCAUGAUGAUUAACUGAUAUCAGUUUAACUUCAGUUAAAAUUCUGUAGAUGAAUUAUCAAUAUUUAAAAAGUUAUCGAAGACUUUAUACGCAAGUGCCUUAUUGAAUAAGAUUGACCAGGUUCAUUGUAUGUGCAUUUUUAGUUCAUGUAUACGGUUUUCUCAGUACUGUUAUUUUUCAUGGAGAGAUUGACUCAACAACCAUCAUAUUUUACCUUGCAUUAACAUUUAGAUGCUUCAAACAGGCAAUCACUAUAAGUAGCUGUUGGCCACAACGUUGAACACCAGUUAAUAUUUUUCUCACUUACGCCACACCAGUUACUUACGUGCCAUCUAUCUCCUCUGUAUGCCAAUUUCAAUAAGAAACAAUCAUACACAAAGAAAAAUCAUGUAAUUAAAGAUUCUAACCUUUGCAUGAUUCACACACCAUGACCAUCAUUUAAGAUGUCUUAUAACUUCCAAAGCUGUCUUCGGGCGACUCUUUAACUUUCCAAAAUUGUUAUGCAUGUCCUGUAAAUAGGAAUAAUCUUAUGCUCCAUGUAAUCAGGUACCCAACAACCUUGAAGGACUAUCUCUCUGUGGUUAACCCCUUAGAAACUAAAUUUUAAUUUGAGACCUUUAAAAAGUUUUAAAGCCUUCAUUCUAAGAUUCUGAUUAGAGGCAAACAACAUAAAAACUGAACAGACUGCAAGUUACUUACAGGCUGUUCUGGUUUAAUUCUGGUUGUAUACAGCAAUAUACACUUUUCCUCUGAGCAGGAAAGGAUUGAUAAAUACUGGUAUAUAAGUUUCACCUUUCUGGCUGUAUUUAUGAUAUGGUUACACAUAUACAUAAGGAGCCUUGAUUUCGUGACAUCUUAUCUGCCUAAUUAAUUGAAUUUAAAAAAAAAUUAAAUAAUGUCAUUUCUCUUUUGUUGUUGUUAUUUUGCUGCCUGAAAUUUGUCUUUUUCGGAUGGGGCCCCUUACCUGGUGAUUAGUGAUUGUGGUUGCUGUCUGGCAGACAACACACGUGGCCUCGUGUUUCCUUAUACCACUGAUCUUUAAGACAGGAGAGGCAACACUGCUCUCAUGGCACCAGAGAUAGCUACAACUGAACCUCGCAGAUUCGCCCAGUUAGAUUAUCGGAAGGAGGACGCAUGAAGUUCAGGUGCCCUGUGUACGAGAUCUUUGGGGCAGACAACCCUUUCUAAUACACUGGCCAAGGGAGGCUAGACAGUCGCAGCUUUAGGCUGGAUGAGUUACCCCCCUUGCGUGAUGAUGUGCCUGCUGUUGUGCGGAGAGUGGUGGCCGCACUGCUCGAAAGGAAACCAAACAAGGUGCAAUAUUAAAUAUGGGCCUUGUUUUGGAAUAACUGGGAUUAAUCCAUGUGUGUUAAAUGUCAUCUCAGAUUAGCCUGUUCACUAACAUUUGUGACUAACUGUUGAUCAAACUUAGUCAGAAUGUUAACUCCACAAUGUUUGAAUCUGGGCCAUGUGCAUCCAAAAAGUAUGUCACCAGGUCGAAUGUGAGAAGAAUCUUGUGUCCAUUCUUGUUGGCACAAUUAUACAAUUAUUGACUUAAUCCAGAUGAAACUUUUUCAAAAUUUGUAUCUUUGCAAUAUGUAGUUUAAUUUAAUUUCUGGGUCACAUGUGUCCGAAAACUAGGUGACAAUGUCAAGUCUGAGAAGAUGACAAUCUUGAUGAACCUUGGUUCGCAUGUUUAUCUGAAAAAUACUUAGGUCAAGUUCAAAUGUGGGUCACAUGAUGUGAUCCAAAACUAGGUCAUCGAGGUUCCAAGGUCAAAGAUCAGGUGGUGGAUUGUCACCAUGGCAAAAGAGGUUCACCUGAAGAAGAAGUCAACUCUGCGAGAGAUGAAAAGGUGUUUCCUGGACCACUUGACCAUCAACAGCCUUUUAAAAAAUUGAACACGUUCAGUUACUGUGGGGUUAACAUUAUAAGUAAAUAAAGUUUAAUGAUG